UACGUAGGGGGGCAAGCGUUGUCCGGAUUUAUUGGGCGUAAAGAGCGUGUAGGCGGUCAGAUAGGUCCGUUGUGAAAACUCGAGGCUCAACCUCGAGACGCCGAUGGAAACCAUCUGACUAGAGUCCGGAAGAGGAGAGUGGAAUUCCUGGUGUAGCGGUGAAAUGCGCAGAUAUCAGGAAGAACACCCGUGGCUAAGGCGGCUCUCUAGUACGGUACUGACGCUGAGACGCGAAAGCGUGGGGAGCGAACAGG
rnacentral:rRNA from 1 species